rnacentral:rRNA from 1 species
AUUGAACGCUGGCGGCAGGCCUAACACAUGCAAGUCGAGCGAGCGGCGGACGGGUGAGUAAUGCCUGGGAAUUGCCCAGUCGAGGGGGAUAACAGUUGGAAACGACUGCUAAUACCGCAUACGUAGGGAUUGCCCAGGUGGGAUUAGCUAGUGGGUGAGGUAAUGGCUCACCAAGGCGACGCUCCCUCGCUGGUCUGAGAGGAUGAGCAGCCCGACGGGAACGGAGACACGGUCACGACUCCUACGGGAGGCGGCAGUGGGGAAUAUUGCACAAUGGGGGAAACCCGCAGGCAGCCAUGCACCGUGUGUGAAGAAGGCCUUCGGGUUGUAAAGCACUUUCAGCGAGGAGGCGUUACUCGCAGAAGAAGCAACGGCUAACUCCGUGCCAGCCGCCGCGGUAAUAC